GAUGAAGAACGUAGCGAAAUGCGAUAAGUAAUGUGAAUUGCAGAAUUCAGUGAAUCAUCGAAUCUUUGAACGCACCUUGCGCCUUUUGGUAUUCCGAAAGGCACACCUGUUUGAGCGUCAUGAAUACCUCAAUCUCCAUCUUUUCUUCGGAUUGAUGGGUGACUUGGAUGUUGAGCCCUGCUGGUAUGCUAUAUCAGCUGGCUUUAAACUUAUUAGCCGGCUCUGUACUGGAUCGGUUUGACUCGACGUGAUAAUAUUAUCGUUGAGGAUGCAUGUCUCAUGCAGCCGGAAAGUAUCAAAGCAGUUUCUAGCUUGCCUUUAGUGCACUUUUACAUUUUAGACCUCAGAUCAGGUGGGACUACCCGCUGAACUUAAGCAUAUCAAUAAGCGGAGGA
rnacentral:misc_RNA from 1 species